CAUAAAAAAUAUCUAUAUAACAAUAACAACAGUACAAAAGUAUAUACAAUAAAAACAUAGAAUUUUGUGUUGAUCCUGGCAUCAUAGGCGUCACAAUAAAUAUCUGUGCGAAACACAACAGUGGAACCUAUGUUUAGCGGCAACAAAACUGAGGAAACAAAGCUUUGAUGCAAGAAAUUGUAAUUGAAUCAUUUUUUACUCGAUUUGAGUUGAUUAAUCGAUUUCUCAUUUCAGCUCUCAAUUAUGCAGUUGAUGAUAGGGGAGGUUGGGUAUUGGCACAACAACUUUUGCUUAAGCAGCUGUAACUUACUUCCUUUUGGAGUUAGAGCUGCCACACAUAUCUUCUACAAAUGGCACCAGUUCUAAUAUCUGUAAGACUAUCACAGAAUCCAUGAGCUACUGAUAAAUGCACUGGUCCUUUAUAAAAUAAUACACUAACAUGAAUAUGAUAAAGAAUAAGAACAGAUAAAACAGAUACAACAAGUGUAACACAGCAGUGUAGAAAAAAAACAUUAUUCUGUCACAGUGCAGCUGCAAUAUGAGUAAUUAUUUUAGUGGGAAUAGUAUUUGAGUUUGAAGCUGCAUUGCGUAAUAGUUUUUUAGUGUCACUGGGCAAAAAUUCCAUAAUUCCUUUUCAUCGUAUUGUAAUUGAAGCAACCUGACAGGACAUCCCAUUUCUGCACCCACUCCUCACCUGUGUUCUCAGGCUAUUAAAAAUGUAUCCAUUAUGCAGGUUUUUGUCCAAUCACAGGCAGGUAUACGGAACAAUACGUGAUUGACAGCUGUAAUUAUCAGUCACUGUUCAGAUUGUGUCAGAUGCGAACUGGACAUGAUUUCACUGCGUUACGUUGACGCAUCAUGGAAGUUUGUGAAAGUGGCCUCACUUUUCCAUAACAACAUGAAAAGCCAUCAGGUUAAUCUGUAUUUAUAUAUAGUUUGUUUUUUUUUUGUUUUUUUGCCUGGACAGAGAGCAGAGAACUGCAGAAAGGUGUAAAUUUUCAGAUUCCAGUGGGGUUUUUUUCCUUCUGAUUUCGGCUUCUGCUGCUUUAGUUUCCACUGAAAAAAAAAAAAAAUUAAGAUGUAAGGGAAAAAUAUUCUAUCAUACUGUUUUUGCCCUAAAAUGUUUUAUAUUGGGAUUUAUUUUACCUUCAUCAAAAACCUGCAGCUCUUAGGUUUAUACAGACAUGUUACACUUGUUAAUAUGGAAUCUUACUAAUAUAUUUUUGAUUAGUCCUUCAGCCCUACAAUGUGACUAUGAUAAAAA